CCUACGGGUGGCAGCAGUGGGGAAUAUUGCACAAUGGGGGAAACCCUGAUGCAGCGACGCCGCGUGAAGGAAGAAGUAUUUCGGUAUGUAAACUUCUAUCAGCAGGGAAGAAAAUGACGGUACCUGACUAAGAAGCCCCGGCUAACUACGUGCCAGCAGCCGCGGUAAUACGUAGGGGGCAAGCGUUAUCCGGAUUUACUGGGUGUAAAGGGAGCGUAGACGGCAGCGCAAGUCUGGAGUGAAAUGCCGGGGCCCAACCCCGGAACUGCUCGGGAAACUGUGAAGCUGGAGUGCAGGAGAGGUAAGCGGAAUUCCUGGUGUAGCGGUGAAAUGCGUAGAUAUCAGGAGGAACACCGGCGGCGAAGGCGGCUUACUGGACUGUAACUGACGUUGAGGCACGAAAGCGUGGGGAGCAAACAGGAUUAGAUACCCGAGUAGUC
rnacentral:rRNA from 1 species